UGGGGAAUAUUGGGCAAUGGGCGAAAGCCUGACCCAGCAACGCCGCGUGAAGGAAGAAGGUUUUCGGAUCGUAAACUUCUAUCCUAGGUGAAGAUAAUGACGGUAGCCUAGAAGGAAGCCCCGGCUAACUACGUGCCAGCAGCCGCGGUAAUACGUAGGGGGCAAGCGUUGUCCGGAAUGAUUGGGCGUAAAGGGCGCGUAGGCGGCCGCGUAAGUCCGACGUGAAAUUCCUGCUUUUAAGGUAGGAAUUGCGUUGGAAACUGCGUGGCUUGAGUGCAGGAGAGGUAAGUGGAAUUCCCGGUGUAGCGGUGAAAUGCGUAGAGAUCGGGAGGAACACCAGUGGCGAAGGCGACUUACUGGACUGUAACUGACGCUGAGGCGCGAAAGUGUGGGGAGCAAACAGG
rnacentral:rRNA from 1 species